GCUGUGAGCUCGAUGAGUAGGGCGGGACACGUGGUAUCCUGUCUGAAUAUGGGGGGACCAUCCUCCAAGGCUAAAUACUCCUGACUGACCGAUAGUGAACCAGUACCGUGAGGGAAAGGCGAAAAGAACCCCGGCGAGGGGAGUGAAAAAGAACCUGAAACCGUGUACGUACAAGCAGUGGGAGCACGCUUAGGCGUGUGACUGCGUACCUUUUGUAUAAUGGGUCAGCGACUUAUAUUCUGUAGCAAGGUUAACCGAAUAGGGGAGCCGAAGGGAAACCGAGUCUUAACUGGGCGUUAAGUUGCAGGGUAUAGACCCGAAACCCGGUGAUCUAGCCAUGGGCAGGUUGAAGGUUGGGUAACACUAACUGGAGGACCGAACCGACUAAUGUUGAAAAAUUAGCGGAUGACUUGUGGCUGGGGGUGAAAGGCCAAUCAAACCGGGAGAUAGCUGGUUCUCCCCGAAAGCUAUUUAGGUAGCGCCUCGUGAAUUCAUCUCCGGGGGUAGAGCACUGUUUCGGCAAGGGGGUCAUCCCGACUUACCAACCCGAUGCAAACUGCGAAUACCGGAGAAUGUUAUCACGGGAGACACACGGCGGGUGCUAACGUCCGUCGUGAAGAGGGAAACAACCCAGACCGCCAGCUAAGGUCCCAAAGUCAUGGUUAAGUGGGAAACGAUGUGGGAAGGCCCAGACAGCCAGGAUGUUGGCUUAGAAGCAGCCAUCAUUUAAAGAAAGCGUAAUAGCUCACUGGUCGAGUCGGCCUGCGCGGAAGAUGUAACGGGGCUAAACCAUGCACCGAAGCUGCGGCAGCGACGCUGAUGCGUUGUUGGGUAGGGGAGCGUUCUGUAAGCCUG
rnacentral:rRNA from 1 species